rnacentral:tRNA from 1 species
UAUAUCUUGGUGUAUGAUGCACGACAGCUUUUGAUGCUUGAAGGCGAUAGUUUGAUUCUAUUAGAUGUAA